ensembl:lncRNA DDN-AS1 DDN and PRKAG1 antisense RNA 1
GCUCCGGCCGCAAGGGAGCAGGGAGCCCUGCCAGCUGGGCCACCCGAGGGGCGUUGCGGGGCUCCGGGCGGGGUCGACCCGGGGGGCUCCGUCGGGCCCCACCAGCCUUGCGCCUUUUUCGCUCGGUCUCCUUGGCCUCCCGCUCCUGCGACGCCGCUUUCCUUUUCUCUUGCUCCCGAGCUCGGACCUCGGCCAGGGGCCCCGCCCGCCAGUUGGUCGCCUCCUGCAGCACCCUGGAGGCCCAGGGCCGGCGGGGCGGCGGCUGUGGGGAUCCCGGGCGCGGCCCACACCUGGGACAAUGAGCAGGAACCCAGGGUCUUGCUGUGUUGCUGAGCUGGUCUUGAACUCCUGGCCUCCCGCCUCAGUCUCCCAAAGUGCUGGGAUUACAGGGAAUGUGACUUCACUGGACGCAGUAUAAAGAUCUUCAGAUGUCCUCCUGCCGGGGAUUGCAGGGAUCACAGAAAGACCAUCGAGGUCCAGGAGCUACCUGCAAGCGGAGAUCCCUCUGGACGCCCCGUGCCUCACCCAGCAAAGCCGGCUCACAACCCUGCGCUCUCAAACCUCUAAAAGGGCUUGAGGUGCCAAUAGGAAAGGAGGCCCGAGAUUGCCACGGCAUACGUGGGCCCCAAGGAGGGAGCCAGGAGUCACUGCCUGCUUGGGCUAAGGGUACCGCGUACGGAAAGGCGGCGGGGACGCGGCCCAGUUCCAGGAGAUGCGCCCAACGAAGAAGCGGAGGAACAGGGUCACGGGAUAGGGCAGACACCCGGCUGCUUUUUGUUUGCUAGACACCAGCGCCAGCCCCUGCCCGGCCCUCCCGGUCUCCUAAGGGUUGGGGGGGUGUCUUAGGCUCCACAGCGCCCCCGACCGCCCUCCUGCACUCCUCACCGUCUCCAUUGCAAGAGGCGCCCGGCUUGGUUUCCUCGCUUUAGGAAAC